GGCUAUUCGCUUCCUUUCUCUCACCCGUCUUCAAGCCGUACCAAAGUCCUACUAAAGCUAAGCUGGUUAAGUCAAGGUUUGGAAGCUAGCAUAAGGUGCUGAAAACCUUAGAAUUUUCUAUUCACAUACAAUAACCAUUAUCUACAGAAAGUUAGAAGCAAGCUCAAAAAAUUUCACUGCCCACAAGUUCCCACUUACAAAAGAAUAAAUGAAAAUUCUUUGCUUCUUCCUUGGAUGCGAAAGAUUAGGGCCAGUUUCAUAUGCAACAAAAAGGAAGCAAUGGCCAAG
rnacentral:lncRNA from 1 species